rnacentral:rRNA from 1 species
AGCGAAUGGAUUGAGAGCUUGCUCUNAUGAAGUUAGCGGCGGACGGGUGAGUAACACGUGGGUAACCUGCCCAUAAGACUGGGAUAACUCCGGGAAACCGGGGCUAAUACCGGAUAACAUUUUGAACUGCAUGGUUCGAAAUUGAAAGGCGGCUUCGGCUGUCACUUAUGGAUGGACCCGCGUCGCAUUAGCUAGUUGGUGAGGUAACGGCUCACCAAGGCAACGAUGCGUAGCCGACCUGAGAGGGUGAUCGGCCACACUGGGACUGAGACACGGCCCCAGACUCCUACGGGAGGCAGCAGUAGGGAAUCUUCCGCAAUGGACGAAAGUCUGACGGAGCAACGCCGCGUGAGUGAUGAAGGCUUUCGGGUCGUAAAACUCUGUUGUUAGGGAAGAACAAGUGCUAGUUGAAUAAGCUGGCACCUUGACGGUACCUAACCAGAAAGCCACGGCUAACUACGUGCCAGCAGCCGCGGUAAUACGUAGGUGGCAAGCGUUAUCCGGAAUUAUUGGGCGUAAAGCGCGCGCAGGUGGUUUCUUAAGUCUGAUGUGAAAGCCCACGGCUCAACCGUGGAGGGUCAUUGGAAACUGGGAGACUUGAGUGCAGAAGAGGAAAGUGGAAUUCCAUGUGUAGCGGUGAAAUGCGUAGAGAUAUGGAGGAACACCAGUGGCGAAGGCGACUUUCUGGUCUGUAACUGACACUGAGGCGCGAAAGCGUGGGGAGCAAACAGGAUUAGAUACCCUGGUAGUCC